GUGCUCACUUCAGCAGCACAUGUACUAAAAUUGGAACAACACAGGGAUUAACAUGAUCUCUGAGUAAGGAUGACACACAAAGUUGAAGCAUUGCAUAUUUUU
ensembl:snRNA U6 U6 spliceosomal RNA